rnacentral:rRNA from 1 species
UACGUAGGGAGCAAGCGUUGUCCGGAAUCAUUGGGCGUAAAGCGCGCGUAGGUGGCUUCGUAAGUCCGUUGUGAAAGUCAAAGGCUCAACCUUUGAAAGCCGAUGGAUACUGUGAAGCUAGAGUACGGAAGAGGCGAGUGGAAUUCCUGGUGUAGCGGUGAAAUGCGCAGAUAUCAGGAGGAACACCGGUGGCGAAGGCGGGUCUCUGGGCCGAUACUGACGCUGAGGAGCGAAAGCGUGGGGAGCGAUCCGG